GAUGAACGCUGGCGGCGUGCUUAACACAUGCAAGUCGAACGGGAAAUAUUUCAUUGAGACUUCGGAGGAUUUGAUUUAUUUCUAGUGGCGGACGGGUGAGUAACGCGUGGGUAACCUGCCUUAUACAGGGGGAUAACAGUCAGAAAUGGCUGCUAAUACCGCAUAAGCGCACAGAGCUGCAUGGCUCAGUGCGAAAAACUCCGGUGGUAUAAGAUGGACCCGCGUUGGAUUAGCUUGUUGGUGAGGUAACGGCCCACCAAGGCGACGAUCCAUAGACGGCCUGAGAGGGUGAACGGCCACAUUGGGACUGAGACACGGCCCAGACUCCUACGGGAGGCAGCAGUGGGGAAUAUUGCACAAUGGGGGAAACCCUGAUGCAGCGACGCCGCGUGAAGGAAGAAGUAUCUCGGUAUGUAAACUUCUAUCAGCAGGGAAGAUAGUGACGGUACCUGACUAAGAAGCCCCGGCUAACUACGUGCCAGCCGCCGCCGUAA
rnacentral:rRNA from 1 species